rnacentral:rRNA from 1 species
GACGAACGCUGGCGGCGUGCUUAACACAUGCAAGUCGAACGGUGAAGCCCUUCGGGGUGGAUCAGUGGCGAACGGGUGGGUAACACGUGAGCAACCUGCCCCUGGCUCUGGGACAACCACUGGAAACGGUGGCUAAUACCGGAUACGACCCGCCUCGGCAUCGAGUGUGGGUGGAAAGUUUUUCGGCUGGGGAUGGGCUCGCGGCCUAUCAGCUUGUUGGUGAGGUGAAGGCUCACCAAGGCGACGACGGGUAGCCGGCCUGAGAGGGCGACCGGCCACACUGGGACUGAGACACGGCCCAGACUCCUACGGGAGGCAGCAGUGGGGAAUAUUGCACAAUGGGCGAAAGCCUGAUGCAGCGACGCCGCGUGAGGGAUGACGGCCUUCGGGUUGUAAACCUCUUUCAGCUCCGAAGAAGCGAAAGUGACGGUAGGAGCAGAAGAAGCACCGGCUAACUACGU